AGUGAACGCUGGCGGUAGGCCUAACACAUGCAAGUCGAACGGCAGCACAGUAAGAGCUUGCUCUUACGGGUGGCGAGUGGCGGACGGGUGAGGAAUACAUCGGCAUCUACUUUUUCGUGGGGGACAACGUAGGGACACUUACGCUAAUACCGCAUACGACCUACGGGUGAAAGCAGGGGAUCUUCGGACCUUGCGCGAUUGAAUGAGCCGAUGUCGGAUUAGCUAGUUGGCGGGGUAAAGGCCCACCAAGGCGACGAUCCGUAGCUGGUCUGAGAGGAUGAUCAGCCACACUGGAACUGAGACACGGUCCAGACUCCUACGGGAGGCAGCAGUGGGGAAUAUUGGGCAAUGGGCGCAAGCCUGAUCCAGCCAUACCGCGUGGGUGAAGAAGGCCUUCGGAUUGUAAAGCCCUUUUAUUAGGAAAGAAAAGCAGCAGGUGAAUACCCCGCUGUUCUGACGGUACCCAAAGAAUAAGCACCGGCUAACUUCGUG
rnacentral:rRNA from 1 species